GAUGAACGCUGGCGGCGUGCCUAAUACAUGCAAGUCGAGCGAACAGACGAGGAGCUUUCUCCUCUGACGUUAGCGGCGGACGGGUGAGUAACACGUGGAUAACCUACCUAUAAGACUGGGAUAACUUCGGGAAACCGGAGCUAAUACCGGAUAAUAUAUUGAACCGCAUGGUUCAAUAGUGAAAGACGGUUUUGCUGUCACUUAUAGAUGGAUCCGCGCCGCAUUAGCUAGUUGGUAAGGUAACGGCUUACCAAGGCAACGAUGCGUAGCCGACCUGAGAGGGUGAUCGGCCACACUGGAACUGAGACACGGUCCAGACUCCUACGGGAGGCAGCAGUAGGGAAUCUUCCGCAAUGGGCGAAAGCCUGACGGAGCAACGCCGCGUGAGUGAUGAAGGUCUUCGGAUCGUAAAACUCUGUUAUUAGGGAAGAACAAAUGUGUAAGUAACUAUGCACGUCUUGACGGUACCUAAUCAGAAAGCCACGGCUAACCACGUG
rnacentral:rRNA from 1 species